CAGGGCAAUAAAAAGCUAACAAUGGUCGGAAGCAAACAUUCGGGAGUCUGAGGCAGUUGAUUACAGUCAUCAGGUCAACACAGCCUCCUGUGGACGUUGUUAGUUUACACCUCAUUAUGUCCAGCCCUAACCUUUUAUUUGCUGCAGUUUGCCAGAGCUGCCUCCCUACUGGACAUUUGCCAUUUAGAAAAAAAAA